AUACCCCAUAAGGGAUGUUGCUGCUAAUGCAGCUGUGUGUCCCCAGACAAGACUAGUGCCUUUACUGCCUGAAUGGUCUUUUGCUGCAGCCCCAAAGGACUCCUAGGAACACACUCAACAAGGGACAAAGUCUGAGAACAGUUUCGUCUGCGUGGUGAACAAUGCAGGAGGUGCCCACCAAGCCCUAACACAGUGGACUGAAGACGGCCACACAGGUCUCAUUGAUGGAAGAGUGUCCUGCUGAUUGGUAGGGAAGUAGCACCGGAGACAGAGGUGGCAUCAGCAGCCAGGUGGACUGGGGGCAAGAAGAGAAGGAAAACAUGCUCUCAUAGAGGCAACUUGGGGAACUUCCUCACUGGGGCAAAGUUCCUCUCUCUCCAGCAGACGUCAAGUGAUCAGGGCAUUGUGUGUCGGAGUGAAUAUAAACCAAUGAGGAUAUCCACAGAGAUCUGGGUUUAAGAUCUGCUUUGGCAGAAGUGUCACCAAGAGUAUCAUAUGCUGGAAUCUGGACACAAAUUGUAUGGUUUAAACAACUUGGAAUACACAGACUAUUUUUUUUAUCUACAGUAAA
rnacentral:lncRNA from 1 species